CCGUUGUGGAACGUGUUCAGAGGGCGAAGCCAGGGAGCCUGAACUUUGGGGGAAUCUCCAUCGGUCUGGGCCUUUUGAUGGGAUAUCGAUGCCUUUUGCACGCGACAACCG
rnacentral:sRNA from 1 species